GGAAAAAGUAACACUAUCAACUGAACUCCGCUCAGAAUCGUUUUUUCGUUAUCAAUGGUUAAUCGUCGCUUACAGAUGUGCAUUAAAUUACCUAUAACAAUAGCUGCAUCCAUCCCAUCGUCCUAGGAUAUCUCUUUUAAGUUUAAAUCUUAUCGUAACUUUCGUAAACGUCAAUUCCCAGCGGCCACAAUCAUAUUUAAUAUAAACGCAUUGCAAACACUACAACGAAGUUAUUAUUACGUCAUUACGGUGUUAUUAACUAUUAUUAUUGGUUAUAUAAAUUAUUUGU